ensembl:lncRNA
UAUAGACUAAUUUUGCAAAUGAGAAUUUUCUUUUAUCUGUUUUGAAUUUGCUACCUUUUGAUUUCAUUCUCAUUAUGAGCAAGGGGGAAUAAAAUGCCUCACUUACCUUCCCUAUAGCAUUUGUUGUUUUGUAUUCUCUUAUCAUGUCAUCUCAUUCUUCUCUCUCUCUCUAAGCUAAACAGUCCCAGUCUUCUCAAUCUCUUUUUGCAUGAGAGCUUUCUCAUUGUCCCUCUGAUUUUGCAAUAUCCUUUUGAGAUGGCCUGCACAUGGUAUUCCAGAUGAGGCAGCAUCACUGACAGAAUGGCAUUAUAAUUUUGUGCAUGUUAUUCUCCAUCCCAUUCCUUAUACAUCCUAACAUCUUGCUUGCUUAUUUGACUGCAGCUGCACAUUGAGCAGAGAUCCUCAUUGAACUGUCCACAACCACACCUGCAUUACUUUUCCUGACUUGAUACAAUUAAUUUACAACCGUGUAAGGUGUAUGUGAUUAUUCCCUCCAAUGUGUAUUACUUUGAAUGUAUGAACAGUGAUUUUCAUUACCAUCAAACUGCUAAUUCACCUAGCUUGGCUUGGUUCCUCACUUCCAUUUUCUGAAGACUAUCUCUUUGGCUCAACUCACCAGUUGAAUCCUGCCAUUCAGUGGAUGUUCCAUGCAUAACAAUUUUGAUGGAAGGUAGGAUAAGGCUUUGAUGGCAGCACCAGGCAAACAGAUAGAUAUCCAUGAAAAAAUUCAGCCACAGUGCUUAAGAUCUGCGUGCUGCUGUUGCAGCUGCAUUGUGCCUUGUCUGCGGAUGUGUGACACAGCUCAAAGGGUGACACAAUGCUGGGAAACCAGAGGAAAAGCGAAUGGAACUGUAAAGUUCUCCCCCCCCUCCUUUGUUCAGCAGGGAGUCCUCUGAAUUAACUUCAACUGAGAGGAACUCAUUUUGGGUUUUCCAUAAACAAAGCAUCAGAGCAUGGUUGUCCAUUGUUCUUAUACACUGGAGUCUGAAACUACCUCUUCUCCUUUUGUCUGUCUUUUUUAAAAAAAUCACUCUGCUAGAGUGAAUAUUGUACAGUUUCUUAUCCCAUGAAUACAGACAAAGCCUCCACUCUUCUUGCUUCCUACAGGGCAUCUCCAUGGAGGAUUCAUAGCAGUGCUGUAAUAUACUGGUAUUAAUGAGCACAUCAUUCAGUCCCCUAUUCCGGCUUUUUCAACAAGCCCAUACUCACAAACAAACUUUCAGGACAGUAUUUAUCUGCUUCAAACUGAAACUGCAGAAGUAAUUAAAAGCUAGGUGAUGGCAGGUCUGUAUGUCCAGCUAGCCUUAUUUUCUCUUACACAUUCACAAUUUUGUAAUUGGCCACUGGAUCGCUAACCUUUUCAUGAUUGGCCCUAGAUUGCCCUCCUACUAUUCAGUGUCCAUAACUGUUAAUGGGAAUUCUGCAUAUAGCCUGAAAAAGUAUGUAAUAGCCUGAAUCGAUGGCUAUAUGUUUAUUAUCCUCUCUUUGCACAGGGCUUCGGCAUUGCUCUCUACAGUUAUGAAACUUCAUCUUUAAAGUACUGAAAGAAUAGAGCUACAGGGUAAAACUGUACUGAAAAUAUCUUAUAAAUGACCAGUGUUUGUAUUUUUAAUUUAAAAAAAAUGAAUACAAAUAUUAAAGAAACUCCUUAGCAUCUGUGCUGUGUUUCUUAUGGGGGUAUGUGUCAUUGUAGCAUUGUUCAUUUAGUCACAUGACCAGGUUAAGGUAUCUAUGGUGAAAGCUUCUCACCAAUGCAGAUGUCAAUAGUAGGUACUAACAUGUUAACCAACCAAUCCCAGCUAUAAUCCUAGUCCUGAAGGAGGUGGAACUAGUAUGAAAGAUUAUUCAAAAAGGUGAAAGCCUUUUGUUCUCUUCAUGAAGGGUCAAGCUGCAAAG